rnacentral:rRNA from 1 species
CUCCUACGGGAGGCAGCAGUGGGGAAUCUUGCGCAAUGGGCGAAAGCCUGACGCAGCAACGCCGCGUGCACGAUGAAGGCCUUCGGGUUGUAAAGUGCUUUUUGAAAGGAUGAGGAAGGACAGUACUUUCAGAAUAAGCUUCGGCUAACUACGUGCCAGCAGCCGCGGUAAAACGUAGGAAGCGAGCGUUAUCCGGAUUUACUGGGCGUAAAGCGUGUGUAGGCGGUUUGACAAGUUGGAUGUGAAAGCUCCUGGCUUAACUGGGAGAGGUCGUUCAAAACUGUCAGACUUGAGAGUGGUAGAGGGAGGUGGAAUUCCGGGUGUAGUGGUGAAAUGCGUAGAUAUCCGGAGGAACACCAGUGGCGAAAGCGGCCUCCUGGCCCAUUUCUGACGCUCAGACACGAAAGCUAAGGUAGCAAACGGGAUUAGAGACCCCGGUAGUCUUAGCUGUAAACGAUGUGAACUUAGUGUCGGCGGGUUUAAAUCCGUCGGUACUGAAGCAAACGCGAUAAGUUCACCGCCUGGGGACUACGGCCGCAAGGUUAAAACUCAAAGGAAUUGAC